UUUCUCGCUUCGGUGGUAGUUUUUCCAGCUGCUGCUGCGGCCGUUGCUCCGGGCGGCGGCGGCAGCGGCAGCGUCGAGAUCUUUGGUGUCUGGGCGUCGGCGACCCAACUUUUUAUCUCUUACAACAGCUCGGGUUGUGGCUGAGAAUGUUGCUCCCCUUUAGCUCUGCCCCUCGGCCCCGAGUUAAUGGACGACUCUGAUUCUCCUCAUGGGCGUUUGCGACACAGGUCGAGGGCGCGACGUUCGUGUCUGAACCGUGCACGGCUUCGUGCUUUCCUCGUGGGCCUUUGCAACGGCCAGACCUGCCGUGGAAGUGAAGGGAGACCACCUGAUGAGGACCACAGAAGACGUUUUUUCAGAGCCCGCUAGAGCAGGCGAGUCCACCACAGUCUUUGCGUUUGGCAAAGGCUCAAAGGCCGGCACAGGAGAGGGAAAGCUUGACAGCAACGAACAGAAAUGGCCUCAGCUUUUCAAACCAGCUUUUCUUUCUCUUGGUGUCGUGAAAGGAAAGGAAUUCCUGCCUUUGGCUGUUCUCAGCGAGAAGACAGCAGGGAUAUUCUCUGCCACUAGAGCUGCAGCAGCUACGCUGCUGUAUCAGGGGAUCACCUUGCAGAGUGUGGCCCCGAUGAUAUACUUCUGAGAACGCUGACCCUGCUACCCAGCCCUGUAUUCCAGGGAAACAGCAGCAGUAGAAGAAGCCUCUCUACCUUGUGCUCCUGGAAACUUCUUACUGCAAAGAACCACCCUUCCACACUUGACUUAGGACCGUGAACUUUGACGUCAGCCUGGGCCAGCGUCAGAAUGUUGAUCAGCCCCUCCCCUCCUUAACAACUCCUCCAGAAAAUCAGCUGACAAACAAAACAAAAUUAAAAAAAAAUUGUUUGAUCAACUGC